rnacentral:misc_RNA from 1 species
GUAGGUGAACCUGCGGAAGGAUCAUUACCGAGCGAGGGUCCCAGCGGCCCGACCUCCCACCCCAUGUGUACCCUCCAGGUUGCUUUGGCGGGCGGCCUUGGCCCCCGCCAGAGACCCCACCGGAGACGGUGGCAGCAAACCCUUCAAUCGUGAAGUCUGAGAAGAUAUGAAAUGACCAAAACUUUCAACAACGGAUCUCUUGGUUCUG